rnacentral:rRNA from 1 species
UACGUAGGUGGCGAGCGUUGUCCGGAUUUACUGGGCGUAAAGAGCGCGCAGGCGGUCGUUCAAGUCGGAUGUGAAAGCCCCCGGCUCAACUGGGGAGGGUCAUUCGAUACUGAUCGACUCGAAGGCAGGAGAGGGAAGCGGAAUUCCCGGUGUAGUGGUGAAAUGCGUAGAUAUCGGGAGGAACACCAGUGGCGAAGGCGGCAUCCUGGACCGGCAUUGACGCUGAGGCGCGAAAGCUAGGGGAGCAAACGGG